rnacentral:rRNA from 1 species
UACGUAGGGAGCAAGCGUUGUCCGGAAUCAUUGGGCGUAAAGCGCGCGUAGGCGGCCCUGUAAGUCCGUUGUGAAAGUCAAAGGCUCAACCUUUGAAAGCCGAUGGAUACUGCAGGGCUAGAGUUCGGAAGAGGCGAGUGGAAUUCCUGGUGUAGCGGUGGAAUGCGCAGAUAUCAGGAGGAACACCAAUAGCGAAGGCAGCUCGCUGGGACGAUACUGACGCUAAGGCGCGAAAGCGUGGGGAGCGAACAGG